rnacentral:rRNA from 1 species
AGUGAACGCUGGCGGUAGGCCUAACACAUGCAAGUCGAACGGCAGCACAGUAAGAGCUUGCUCUUACGGGUGGCGAGUGGCGGACGGGUGAGGAAUACAUCGGAAUCUACUUUUUCGUGGGGGAUAACGUAGGGAAACUUACGCUAAUACCGCAUACGACCUACGGGUGAAAGCAGGGGAUCUUCGGACCUUGCGCGAUUGAAUGAGCCGAUGUCGGAUUAGCUAGUUGGCGGGGUAAAGGCCCACCAAGGCGACGAUCCGUAGCUGGUGUGAGAGGAUGGUCGGCCACACGGGAACUGAGACAGGGUCCAGACGCCUGCGGGAGGGAGCAGAGGGGAAUAGUAGACAAUGGGGGCAAGCCUGAUCCAGCCAUAGCGCGUGGGUGAAGAAGGCGUUCGGGUUGUAAAGCCGUUUUGUUGGGAAAGAAAAGCAGCAGGUUAAUACCCCGCUGUUCUGACGGUACCCAAAGAAUAAGCACCGGCUAACUUCGUG